CUCGGGCAGUUGGCCGGCAUGCCACUGCGCAUGUGUAUCAACUACAAGGGUGGUUGCUGGGGUUGAGGCUUUCGAUUAACACCGCAGCCAAAGAGGAAGGUAAUGCUGUGCCUCUUUGUUGAGCCAAACCCACCCCCAGCUUUAUUAAUCUUCAAGCAAGUUCCCCACCAGCCACUUGCCUGAAAAUCCCGGCAACAAAGCUGUCCUCAGUUAUUCAUCCUCCCAUGGCGAAAUCAGUGGGUAUUUAGCAUACCUGUGGGAAGCCAAACAGCGCACUAGACAGUCAUGAGUCCUGUUUUUGAGGACCUCAGAGUUUAACAAAGAAGUCAAGACCAAUAAAUACACAAACAGUGGAUAAAUAACUACCAAGGUUAACUAAGAGCUGGAUGCGGAUAAUGUAGUUGAAAACAUUAGAAAAAGAAUUGAUUUCAGCGAGACUGGUCAAAGUUAGACAACAGGAAGAACUUCGGAUCACUGCUGAUGACCUUACUAUGUCAGGAAUUGACCACAAGCCCAAGGAAUGCCUAGGACUCCUAGAAUUAUUUGCAAUAGCCAAGGUAUGGAAACAACCUAAAUGCCCAUCAGAGGAUGAAUGGAUAAAAACGAUGUGGUAUGUAUACACAAUGGAAUAUUAUUCAGCCAUGAGAAGAGAGGAUAUCCUGCCAUUUGUGGCAACAUGGAUAGACCUUGAGCACAUUAUGCUAAGUGAGUGGGGUUUUCCAGAGGCUACAUGGAUGUGACAUCACAACAGAUUGGAUACAGGCCCCGAUCAACCAGCCAAGCCAUUCACCACUACCAUCCAGAACUCCAUGUAUACUCGACCUCAGGCCACUUCUGCCAUACAAAGUAAACGACUGACUAGGUGCGAUGCUCAAGGCUCUGGUCCGGGAAGGAUCUCCCUCCAUGGUGUCCUUUAAGGCCACCCCUGAGUAAGGCUGUGAUACAGCAGCAGCCCAUUUACAGCUAACCCCAGUGUAUCAUGUUGACCCAUCUCUGGACCAGACUGAGUUGUUGUUUUUAACUUUGAUUUACAGAGAAUUUAGAACAUACACAUAAGUAAAUAGAAUAGUAUAUGAACUCCCAUCUAUCCCUAACUCAGGCUUAACCAUGGCCAUUCAUUUCCCCUCUCAUGAUAUUUUAAACAAGUUGCAUACAUUACAUAAUUUCACUGUAAAUAUUUUAGUAUGUAUCACUAAAAGAUAAAUGCUUUUGAAAAACGACAUUAUUAUUACACUUGAA